UACGGGGGGGGCAAGCGUUGUUCGGAAUUACUGGGCGUAAAGGGCUUGUAGGUGGCCAACUAAGUCAGACGUGAAAUCCCUCGGCUUAACCGGGGAACUGCGUCUGAUACUGGAUGGCUUGAGUGUGGGAGAGGGAUGCGGAAUUCCAGGUGUAGCGGUGAAAUGCGUAGAUAUCUGGAGGAACACCGGUAGCGAAGGCGGCAUCCUGGACCAUUACUGACACUGAAAAGCGAAAGCCAGGGGAGCAAACGGG
rnacentral:rRNA from 1 species